rfam:Chlorocebus sabaeus isolate 1994-021 chromosome 5, whole genome shotgun sequence.
GGAAAUAUGUCUGACAAAAGAAUUACUUUGAUAGAGUAAACAAUAAAGGUUUAAAUCCUCUGAUUUCUA